GACGAACGCUGGCGGCGUGCCUAAUACAUGCAAGUCGAGCGGAAAUUUUAUUGGUGCUUGCACCUUUAAAAUUUUAGCGGCGGACGGGUGAGUAACACGUGGGUAACCUGCCUUAUAGAUUGGGAUAACUCCGGGAAACCGGGGCUAAUACCGAAUAAUACUUUUAAACACAUGUUUGAAAGUUGAAAGACGGUUUCGGCUGUCACUAUAAGAUGGACCCGCGGCGCAUUAGCUAGUUGGUGAGGUAACG
rnacentral:rRNA from 1 species